rnacentral:rRNA from 1 species
CCUACGGGUGGCAGCAGUAGGGAAUUUUGCGCAAUGGGGGAAACCCUGACGCAGCAACGCCGCGUGAUCGAUGAAGCCCUUCGGGGUGUAAAGAUCUGUCAGUGGGGACGAAACCUGCCGGUACCCACAGAGGAAGCACCGGCUAACUCCGUGCCAGCAGCCGCGGUAAUACGUAGGGAGCGAGCGUUGUCCGGAAUUACUGGGUGUAAAGGGAGCGUAGGCGGGGAUGCAAGUUGGGUGUCAAAACUACCGGCUCAACUGGUAGUCGCACUCAAAACUGCAGCUCUUGAGUGAAGUAGAGGCAGGCGGAAUUCCUAGUGUAGCGGUGAAAUGCGUAGAUAUUAGGAGGAACACCAGUGGCGAAGGCGGCCUGCUGGGCUUUUACUGACGCUGAGGCUCGAAAGUGUGGGGAGCAAACAGGAUUAGAUACCCCGGUAGUC